GUUGUAAAGCACUUUCAGUGGGGAAGAAAAGCCUGGGGUUAAUACCCCCGGGGUCUUGACGUUACCCACAGAAGAAGCACCGGCUAACUCCGUGCCAGCAGCCGCGGUUAUACGGAAGGGUGCAAGCGUUAAUCGGAAUCACUGGGCGUAAAGCGCACGUAGGCGGCGAAGUCCAGUCAGAUGUGAAAGCCCCGGGCUCAACCUGGGAACGGCAAUUGAUCCUGCCUUGGCUCGAAUUAGGUAAAAGGGGGUGGAAUUCCAGGGAGAACCGUGAAAAGCCGAGAUAUCUGGAGGACACUCAGUGGCGAAGGCGGCCCCCUGGGACCAAGCCGACAGCUGAGGUGCGAAAGCCGGGGGGAGCCAACACGAAUAGAUACCCGGGUAGUCCCCACCGUUAAACGAUAUCGAAUAGACCUGGGGCUCAUAUAAGAGAUUAGUGGCGCAGCACACGCGAUAAGUCGACCGCCUGUGGAGUACGCCCGCAAGGAGGUUACUCAAAGGAGAUUGACGCGGGGCCCGCACAACCAGGUGGAGCAUCCGCUGUAAUUAGAUGCUACGCGGAGAACCUCACCAGCCGUCGACAUCAUCGGAACUUGGCAGAGAAGCCUCGGUGCCUUCGGGAGCACGAGAGAACAGCAGCUGCAUGACAGUCGUCAGCUCGUCUCGUCAGAAGAUGGGGUAAGUACCCGUAACGAGCGCAACCCUCGUCCUUAGUAGCCAGCGGUUCGGCCGGGAACUCUAAGGAGACUGCCGGCGAUAAACCGGAGGAAGGUGGGGAUGACGUCAAGUCAUCAUGGCCCUUAUGGGCUGGGCUACACACGCGCUACAAUGGUCGGUACAGAGGGCUUCAAAACANGCGAUGUGGAGCCAAUCCCAGAAAACCGAUCGUAGUCCGGAUUGCAGUCUGCAAACUCGACUGCAUGAAGUCGGAA
rnacentral:rRNA from 1 species